AGAGUUUGAUGGUGGCUCAGAUUGAACGCUGGCGGCAGGCCUAACACAUGCAAGUCGAGCGCGAAAGCACUUCGGUGUGAGUAGAGCGGCGGACGGGUGAGUAACGCGUGGGAAUCUACCUGGUAGUGGAGGAUAACUCGAGGAAACUCGAGCUAAUACUGCGUACGCCCUACGGGGGAAAGCGGGGGAUCUUCGGACCUCGCGCUAUCAGAUGAGCCCGCGUCAGAUUAGCUUGUUGGUGAGGUAAAGGCUCACCAAGGCGACGAUCUGUAGCUGGUCUGAGAGGAUGAUCAGCCACAUUGGGACUGAGACACGGCCCAAACUCCUACGGGAGGCAGCAGUGGGGAAUAUUGCGCAAUGGGGGAAACCCUGACGCAGCCAUGCCGCGUGUGUGAAGAAGGCUUUCGGGUUGUAAAGCACUUUCAAUAGGGAGGAAAGGUUGCAGAUUAAUACUCUGUAGCUGUGACGUUACCUAUAGAAGAAGCACCGGCUAACUCCGUGCCAGCAGCCGCGGUAAUACGGAGGGUGCAAGCGUUAAUCGGAAUUACUGGGCGUAAAGCGCGCGUAGGCGGCUUCGUCAGUUGGAUGUGAAAGCCCCGGGCUUAACCUGGGAACUGCAUUCAAUACUGCGGAGCUAGAGUAUGGUAGAGGAUAGUGGGAAUUCCAGGUGUAGCGGUGAAAUGCGUAGAUAUCUGGAGGAACAUCAGUGGCGAAGGCGACUGUCUGGAACA
rnacentral:rRNA from 1 species